rnacentral:lncRNA from 1 species
CUUCACUUUAAACCACGAGUUACGAAAGUACACUGCACAAGCAAUGCGAUUAGUAAGUUAGUAAGCCUUAACUUGAGACUCUCCAACGAUUAAGAGAUCACACUAUUAUUAAUAUAACUGAGACUGGAUAGCGCGACCGAUGGAUAGAGCGCGAGAUAAGAGCUUACAUAUAUGCUACAACUUCAGUAACGAAGAGGGUGACAUAAAGAACUGGAAAAAACGGUCGC